UGUAUUUAAUAUUAUUUCAAAAUAUUUGUUAUUUUCAAAUAUUAUAUGGAAAAAAAACUGUUUUCUGGUGGAAGAGAAGAAAAUAGGUAAAAGUUGGAUUUAAUAAAAACUUACUUACAAAGAAAAUUGAUUUAACAUUUCUUAGAUUGGUUGAAGAGGCCGAACCCAAAUGAAGAACAAUUGGACCAAAGUAUGUUGCAAGAGAGACGGACGAGCUAGCCUGUUUAAAGCUGUCAAAUGGUGCAACUUCAUCAUACCAGAGGCAGGCUUUAUAAAUUCAUCCCCAAGGGAUAGAACCCACCGCUUCCAAGUAAGUCCGCAUGUAGCUGUGGUUUCAUAGAAUCUAACCAGAGAUAUGGACGCUAUGAAACCUGUUGCGAAACAGCUAGAGAAAGAAGAUGACGAUGACGAUGAAGAUGAAGGAAACAUCAUGCAUCAUGAAGAUGCAGUCCUUUUGUCGAAUCAGUAAUUAACCAAAAUAAUUCGUCGAUGGAUCCUACCAACUCUGUGAAAUCCUCCUCGAUCUCCUUUUUCGUUAAUGGUAACGAGAACUUCACCCUCUCCUUAUUUUAUGACAGUCUUCCGCUUUCCUUCAU
rnacentral:lncRNA from 1 species